UUACAUCUCUUCGGUAGCAUUUUACGUAGGUGCUGCAUGGUUGUCGUCAGCUCGUGCCGUGAGGUGUCGGGUUAAGUCCCAUAACGAGCGCAACCCCUACCUUUAGUUGCCAUCAGGUUAAGCUGGGGACUCUAAAGGAACUGCCUACGCAAGUAGUGAGGAAGGCGGGGAUGACGUCAAAUCAGCACGGCCCUUACGUCCAGGGCUACACACGUGCUACAAUGGCCGAUACAGAGGGCAGCUACCUGGUGACAGGAUGCAAAUCUCCAAAGUCGGUCUCAGUUCGGAUCGGAGUCUGCAACCCGACUCCGUGAAGUUGGAUUCGCUAGUAAUCGCGCAUCAGCCAUGGCGCGGUGAAUACGUUCCCGGGCCUU
rnacentral:rRNA from 1 species